AUUAAUGAUUUUUUUUUUACAGAUAAUUAUUGUUAGAAGUAGAACACACAUCUUAAAAAGAAAAAAACCAACGAACACAAAUUGUCGAACAUCGAUCGAUCGACGAAUCUGCAGCGAAAUUCACAGGGAAUCUACCUAUUUCAUCUCUGUUUAUACUUUGUCUAUAAUGUAGUGUUAGUUCUAUAAAGAGAGUAUUACAAACAUAAUGAUGUUGCCAAAAGAAGAGAAAAUAAUUCUUAUGGAGGAGGUAGCUUAGAUGUUCACUUUGGAGAUUUUCAGAAUUCUAAAUGCCAACCAUCAUUUGCCCAUCAUUUGUGGAGAUUUGCAGAAUUCUAAACGUAAAAGAUUACCAAAUCUCAACGGGCUUCAAGAUUAAGCCGUGGAUCGAUGUCAAGUAAUGAAAUUGCCAAAUUCUGUUUCGUCCGGGUCGAGCCCAUGAUCCGCGCGUCGACCCACCAGAGAAGUCCAGGAUCUGCGUCUUUAUCCGAUCCAGUAGCCCAUGAUCCGCGUUUUUUUUAAGUUGUAAUUAUACUUUUACCCUUAAACAAUUAUUUUCAUUUACUCUUUGAAUGUAAUUUUUCCAAUGGCAUUCUCUUGUAAUUUUGUACACAUUGUAAGGUUAUUUUUUAUGUAAUCCUUCCCAAUUAAUAGUAUA